UUGCUGGCCCUCAAACGGGGGCAUAUGUGCACGCUCUGUUCACACAUCCACUCACACCUGUGCACCCUCCGUAGUUCUGUGGCCUGGGGGCCUGUCCUCCUGCCGUGGUUCUAUGUCUUUACACACACACACUGUAACAAAGUCUUAUGGAAUGUAUGCCGCGUUUAACGCAAUACAAUACAACUUUCAGCAACGGAUCUCUUGGCUCUCGCAUCGAUGAAGAACGCAGCGAAAUGCGAUAAGUAAUGUGAAUUGCAGAAUUCAGUGAAUCAUCGAAUCUUUGAACGCACCUUGCGCCCUUUGGCCAUUCCGAAGGGCAUGCCUGUUUGAGUAUCAUGAACAUCUCAACUCUCAUGGCUUGCCAUGAUGAGCUUGGACUUUGGGGGUCUUGCUGGCCUGUGGUCGGCUCCUCUCAAAUGGAUCAGCUUACCAGUGUUUGGUGGCAUCACAGGUGUGAUAACUAUCUGCGCUUGUGGUUUUCCAUCAGAUAACCUUCAGCAAUGGAGGUUCGCUGGAGCUUAUAAACGUCUCUCCUAAGCGAGGACAGCUCUUUGAACGUUUGAUCUCAAAUCAGGUAGGACUACCCGCUGAACUUAAGCAUAUCAAUAAG
rnacentral:rRNA from 1 species